GAGUUUGAUUCUGGCUCAGAUUGAACGCUGGCGGCAUGCUUUACACAUGCAAGUCGGACGGCAGCACAAAGAAGCUUGCUUCUUGGGUGGCGAGUGGCGAACGGGUGAGUAACGCAUCGGAACGUACCGAGUAGUGGGGGAUAACUGUCCGAAAGGAUGGCUAAUACCGCAUACGCUUUGAGAAGGAAAGCGGGGGAUCUUCGGACCUCGCGCUAUUCGAGCGGCCGAUGUCUGAUUAGCUAGUUGGUGGGGUAAAGGCCUACCAAGGCGACGAUCAGUAGCGGGUCUGAGAGGAUGAUCCGCCACACUGGGACUGAGACACGGCCCAGACUCCUACGGGAGGCAGCAGUGGGGAAUUUUGGACAAUGGGCGCAAGCCUGAUCCAGCCAUGCCGCGUGUCUGAAGAAGGCCUUCGGGUUGUAAAGGACUUUUGUCAGGGAAGAAAAGCUUGAGGCUAAUACCCUUAAGUGAUGACGUACCUAAG
rnacentral:rRNA from 1 species